rnacentral:rRNA from 1 species
GACGAACGCUGGCGGCGUGCUUAACACAUGCAAGUCGAACGGAAAGGCCCUGCUUUUGUGGGGUGCUCGAUUGGCGAACGGGUGAGUAACACGUGAGUAACCUGCCCUUGACUUUGGGAUAACUCCAGGAGACUGGGGCUAAUACCGGAUAGGAGCUCCUGCUGCAUGUUGGGGGUUGGAAAGAUUCGGCGGUUGGGGAUGGACUCGCGGCUUAUCAGCUUGUUGGUGGGGUAGUGGCUUACCAAGGCUUUGACGGGUAGCCGGCCUGAGAGGGUGACCGGCCACAUUGGGACUGAGAUACGGACCAGACUCCUACGGGAGGCAGCAGUGGAGAAUAUUGCACAAUGGGCGGAAGCCUGAUGCAGCAACGCCGCGUGCGGGAUGACGGCCUUCGGGUUGUAAACCGCUUUCGCCUGUGACGAAGCGUGAGUGACGGUAAUGGGUAAAGAAGCACCGGCUAACUACGUG